rnacentral:rRNA from 2 species
UGGAUCCAGACUUUGAUCCUGGCUCAGGAUGAACGCUAGCUACAGGCUUAACACAUGCAAGUCGAGGGGCAGCGGGAUUGAAGCUUGCUUCAAUUGCCGGCGACCGGCGCACGGGUGAGUAACGCGUAUCCAACCUUCCGUACACUCAGGGAUAGCCUUUCGAAAGAAAGAUUAAUACCUGAUGGUAUGAUGAGAUUGCAUGAUAGCAUCAUUAAAGAUUUAUCGGUGUACGAUGGGGAUGCGUUCCAUUAGGUAGUAGGCGGGGUAACGGCCCACCUAGCCAACGAUGGAUAGGGGUUCUGAGAGGAAGGUCCCCCACAUUGGAACUGAGACACGGUCCAAACUCCUACGGGAGGCAGCAGUGAGGAAUAUUGGUCAAUGGACGAGAGUCUGAACCAGCCAAGCAGCGUGAAGGAUGAAGGUCCUACGGAUUGUAAACUUCUUUUAUAAGGGAAUAAACCCUCCCACGUGUGGGAGCUUGUAUGUACCUUAUGAAUAAGCAUCGGCUAACUCCGUGCCAGCAGCCGCGGUAAUACGGAGGAUGCGAGCGUUAUCCGGAUUUAUUGGGUUUAAAGGGAGCGCAGACGGGCCGUUAAGUCAGCUGUGAAAGUUUGGGGCUCAACCUUAAAAUUGCAGUUGAUACUGGCGUCCUUGAGUGCGGUUGAGGUGUGCGGAAUUCGUGGUGUAGCGGUGAAAUGCUUAGAUAUCACGAAGAACUCCGAUUGCGAAGGCAGCACACUAAUCCGUAACUGACGUUCAUGCUCGAAAGUGUGGGUAUCAAACAGGAUUAGAUACCCUGGUAGUCCACACGGUAAACGAUGGAUACUCGCUGUUGGCGAUAUACUGUCAGCGGCUUAGCGAAAGCGUUAAGUAUCCCACCUGGGGAGUACGCCGGCAACGGUGCAACUCAAAGGAAUUGACGGA